rnacentral:rRNA from 1 species
GACGAACGCUGGCGGCGUGCUUAACACAUGCAAGUCGAACGGAAAGGCCCUGCUUUUGUGGGGUGCUCGAGUGGCGAACAGGUGAGUAACACGUGAGUAACCUGCCCUUGACUUUGGGAUAACUUCAGGAAACUGGGGCUAAUACCGGAUAGGAGCUCCUGCUGCAUGGUGGGGGUUGGAAAGUUUCGGCGGUUGGGGAUGGACUCGCGGCUUAUCAGCUUGUUGGUGGGGUAGUGGCUUACCAAGGCUUUGACAGGUAGCCGGCCUGAGAGGGUGACCGGCCACAUUGGGACUGAGAUACGGCCCAGACUCCUACGGGAGGCAGCAGUGGGGAAUAUUGCACAAUGGGCGGAAGCCUGAUGCAGCAACGCCGCGUGCGGGAUGACGGCCUUCGGGUUGUAAACCGCUUUCGCCUGUGACGAAGCGUGAGUGACGGUAAUGGGUAAAGAAGCACCGGCUAACUACGUG